rnacentral:rRNA from 1 species
GCUUCUUGGAAUAKAGCGUGUGCCCGGGUGAGAAUCCUGCAUUUCGCUCGAUGUCCGCUGUCCACAGUGCUUGUUCUGAGAGUCACGCUCCUCGGAAUUGGAGCGUAAAUCAGGUGGUAAGUUUCAUCCAAAGCUAAAUARAAGCUCGAGACCAAUAGCAAACAAGUACCAUGAGGGAAAGAUGAAAAGGACUUUGGAAAGAGAGUUAAAAGUGUUUGAAAUUGCUGAGAGCGAAGCGAACGGAGCCACAUGUCGUGCUGARAUUGCUGUGGGUCUUUGUGAGCCUUGAGCAUGUAAGCGCAAGCUGACUGCUUAUGCGUGAGCAUUUGCCCGCAGUGUUUCUCASCAUGCGAGUCAUUAGCCACAUUUGUUUGAGGAUGGCCUUCAGCUCACAUGGUACACUUGUUAGUGUGCCUCUGUGCGGUGUGGGACUCAGACAGGUGUGGCUUGUUGACCCAGUGGUUUUUUUCGACCCGUCUUGAAACACGGACCAARGAGUCUAACAUCC